UGACUNGAGUGCAGAAGAGGAGAGUGGAAUUCCAUGUGUAGCGGUGAAAUGCGUAGAUAUAUGGAGGANCACCAGUGGCGAAAGCGGCUCUCUGGUCUGUCACUGACGCUGAGGCUCGAAAGCGUGGGUAGCGAACAGGAUUAGAUACCCUGGUAGUCCACGCCGUAAACGAUGAGUGCUAGGUGUUAGGCCCUUUCCGGGGCUUAGUGCCGGAGCUAACGCAAUAAGCACUCCGCCUGGGAGUACGACCGCAAGGUUGAAACUCAAAGGAAUUGACGGGGGCCCGCACAAGCGGUGGAGCAUGUGGUUUAAUUCGAAGCAACGCGAAGAACCUUACCAGGUCUUGACAUCCCGAUGCUAUUCUUAGAGAUAGGAAGUUACUUCGGUACCUCGGAGACAGGUGGUGCAUGGUUGUCGUCAGCUCGUGUCGUGAGAUGUUGGGUUAAGUCCCGCAACGAGCGCAACCCUUAUUGUUAGUUGCCAUCAUUAAGUUGGGCACUCUAGCGAGACUGCCGGUAAUAAACCGGAGGAAGGUGGGGAUGACGUCAAAUCAUCAUGCCCCUUAUGACCUGGGCUACACACGUGCUACAAUGGUCGGUACAACGAGUUGCGAGCCGGUGACGGCAAGCUAAUCUCUGAAAGCCGAUCUCAGUUCGGAUUGGAGGCUGCAACUCGCCUCCAUGAAGUCGGAAUCGCUAGUAAUCGCGGAUCAGCACGCCGCGGUGAAUACGUUCCCGGGCCUUGUACACACCGCCCGUCACACCACGAGAGUUUGUAACACCCGAAGUCGGUGAGGUAACC
rnacentral:rRNA from 1 species